GACGAACGCUGGCGGCGUGCCUAAUACAUGCAAGUCGAGCGCUGAAGGUUGGUACUUGUUCCACCUGGAUGAGCAGCGAACGGGUGAGUAACGCGUGGGGAAUCUGCCUUUGAGCGGGGGACAACAUCUGGAAACGAAUGCUAAUACCGCAUAAUAUCUUUAACCACAAGUUUUAAGUUUGAAAGAUGCAUUUGCAUCACUCAAAGAUGAUCCCGCGUUGUAUUAGGUAGUUAGUGAGGUAAAGGCUCACCCAGGCGAUGAUACAUAGGCGACCGGGAAGGGUGGAUGGCCACAAUGGGACUGGGACACGGGCCAAGCUCCUACGGGGAGGAGCAAGAGGGGAUCUUCGGCAAAGGACGGAAGGCUGGCCGAGGAACGCCGGGGGGGGGAAGGAGGUUUUCGGGUCGGAAAACUCUGUUGGUAGGGAAGGAAGAAGGUGAGAGUGGAAAGCGCAUGAAGUGACGGUAACUAACCAGAAAGCGACGGCUAACUACGUG
rnacentral:rRNA from 1 species